CCACCUUGCAAUUCCAUUCACAAAUGUAUUUAAUAAUCUAGAAUAUUUUCUCUGAAAUGUCGUUUUUUUAUGCUUAGCAUAUGAUUUAUAACAAAAUUAAUGUUUUGAAAACCUGAAAUUUCUUACAAAAUGUGCUCUCAGAAUGCUGCAAAUGCCAUUUCAGGGAUCCAAAUUUUAAACAUUUUCUGGGGGAGAAUUCCUCCAUACCCCCUAGAAAUCUCGUG